UGUAGGUGUAGCGGUGGAGGAGGAAGAUAAGGUAGCCAACACUGUAUGUAUAUAUAUAUAUAUAUAUAUAUAUAUAUUUAUUUAUAAUUGGGGUAGCCCCCAAAAUAUUGGGACAUGUAAAAAAAGACAACUCUGUUCCGCAGAGUAGCUGUUGACAUUAUAGUUGCGCAGGCACUUUGUUGACUCUAGAGUACCUCGGGCCAAUCGCACAUCACCGUGACGGCGACUUUGCAUUCGGAUGUCAUCCAUAUCAACUUUCGAUGCCAGUUUCUGCACCUACCAUGGUGACCACAGGUAACGGGGAAUCAGGGUUCCAUUUCGUACAGGGACCCUGAGAAACGGCUACCACAUGCAAUGAAGGCAGCAGGCGCGCAAAUGACCCACUCCCGAAGCGGGAAAGUAGUGACG